AAUGAACGCUGGCGGCGUGCCUAACACAUGCAAGUCGAGCGAGAAAACUCCUUCGGGAGUUAGUACAGCGGCGGACGAGUGAGUAACACGUGAGAACCUACCCUUGAGUGAAGAAUACCCACGAGAAAUUGUGGUUAAUACUGCAUACGUCCCUACGGGGAGAAAGGUGGCUUUAUGCUACCGCUGAAGGAUGGGCUUGCGGACUAUCAGCUAGUUGGUGGGGUAAAGGCCCACCAAGGCAAUGACGGUUAACCGGCCUGAGAGGGUGUUCGGUCAC
rnacentral:rRNA from 1 species